rnacentral:lncRNA from 1 species
AGAGGCUUACUAUAGCAGUUGAAUUGGUAGCUAAUCCAUCAAUAAUCUUCAUGGACGAGCCAACAUCUGGUCUUGAUGCAAGAGCUGCUGCCAUUGUUAUGCGUACUGUUAGGAAUACUGUUGAUACAGGAAGAACUGUUGUUUGUACAAUUCACCAACCUAGCAUCGACAUUUUCGAAUCCUUCGAUGAGGUUUGCUUCCGAAAUUUUUUCCACUUUUAAGUCCCUGAACCAGGAUAAAGUUAAUCAAUCAUCUUUGGUUUAAUGCAGUUGCUGUUGAUGAAACGAGGAGGACAAGUUAUAUAUGCUGGAACACUAGGACAUCACUCACAAAAACUCGUUGAAUACUUUGAGGUGAAUCAUUGGUUUUGCUUUUCCUCUCUCUUGGUCAUAUGAAUAUGGAACUAUAUCUAGAACUUUU